CUGGCUCAGAACGAACGCUGGUGGCGUGUCUUAUACAUGCAAGUCGAGCGAGGCAGCAAUGCCUAGCGGCGAACGGGUGAGUAACGCGUAAGCAAUCUGCCCCAUAUCAGGAAAUACCCGUGCCAACGCGCGGUUAAUGUCCAGGAGCGUGGCCUUCCGCAUGGGAGGUUGACAAGAGAUUUAUCGGUAUGGGAUGAGCUUGCGUCCGAUUAGCUAGUUGGCGGGGCAACGGCCCACCAAGGCGACGAUCGGUAGCCGGCCUGAGAGGGUGAUCGGCCACAUUGGGACUGAGAUACGGCCCAGACUCCUACGGGAGGCAGCAGUAGGGAAUAUUGCACAACGGGGGAAACCCUGAUGCAGCAACGCCACGUGUGGGAAGAAGCAUUUCGGUGUGUAAACCACUGUCGUGAGGGAAUAAGGCGUCUUCUCGGAGACGUUGAAUGUACCUCGAAAGGAAGCACCGGCAAACUUCGUGCCAGCAGCUGC
rnacentral:rRNA from 1 species